rnacentral:rRNA from 1 species
GGUGAACGCUGGCGGCGUGCAUAACACAUUCAAGUCGAACGGAGUUAACGGAAAGCUUGCUUUUUCAAACUUAGUGGCGAACGGGUGAGUAACGCGUGAGUAACCUGCCCUGGAGUGGGGGACAACAGUUGGAAACGACUGCUAAUACCGCAUAAGCCCACGGCCCGGCAUCGGGUUGAGGGAAAAGGAUUUAUUCGCUUCAGGAUGGACUCGCGUCCAAUUAGCUAGUUGGUGAGGUAACGGCCCACCAAGGCGACGAUUGGUAGCCGGACUGAGAGGUUGAACGGCCACAUUGGGACUGAGACACGGUCCAA